ACCGGCAGCUCUAGUGGUAGCAGUUUUUAUUGGGCCUAAAGCGUCCGUAGCCGGUUUAAUAAGUCUCUGGUGAAAUCCUGCAGCUUAACUGUGGGAAUUGCUGGAGAUACUAUUAGACUUGAGAUCGGGAGAGGUUAGAGGUACUCCCAGGGUAGAGGUGAAAUUCUGUAAUCCUCGGAGGACCGCCUGUUGCGAAGGCGUCUGACUGGCACGAUUCUGACGGUGAGGGACGAAAGCUAGGGGCGCGAACCG
rnacentral:rRNA from 1 species